CCCCUCCCCCCACAAUAUCUGGGUGUCACAGGUGUGUCCCCAAUCCCAGGUAACCCAUUCCCGGCGAGUUUUUUCCCUUUUUUUUACAUUUUUCCCAUUUUUAAUUGCCAAUUUUCCUAUUUAUUUUUUGUUGUUUUUACCAUUUUUUUGCCAUUUUUCCUCUUUUUUUGCUGUUUUUCUCAUUUUUGGGUUUUUUUCCCCCAUUUUUUGGCCAUUUUUCCCAUUUUUUUUUCUGUUCUUCCCAUUUCUGUGGAUGCUUUUCCCAUUUUUUUUGCCGUUUUCCCUAUUUUUAUUCCCAUUUUUUUGGCGUCUUCCCCAUUUCCUUCAGUUUUUCCCAUUUUUUUUGGUUUUUUUCCCAUUCUUUGCCUGUUUUUCUAUUUUUUGGUUGGUUUUCUCUUUUUUUUUGCCAUUUUUCCCAUUUUUUUCGCCAUUUUUCCCAUUUUUCGCCCAUUUGUCCCAUUUUUUUGCCCUUUCCCCCCAUUUUUCUUGGUUUUAUUCCCAUUUUUUUCUGUUUUUUCCUUUAUUUUUUUGCCAUUUUCCCCAUUUUUUUGCCAUAUUUCCUCAUUUUUCUGCCUGUUUUCCCAUUUUUUGGUUGUUUUUCUCAUUUUUUUUGGUUUUUUCCCCAUUUUUACGGUUUUUAUUCCCAUUUUUUCCCCGUUUUUUCCCAUUUUUUCCCGUUUUUCCCAUUUUCCCCGGGUUUUUGCCCAGUUUCAGGUACCUGGUGUCCUGGUGCAUGCCCAGGCAGCGGCUGCAGCAGUACCUGGCCCCGCAGGUGACACAGGUGUGUCCCCAACCCCAGCUCACCCAUUCCCCUGCCCUUUAUUCACAUUUUUCCUGGUUUUAUUCCCAUUUUUUUUGACAUUUUUCCCAUUUUUUGCCUGUUUUUCCCCAUUUUAUUGCCAUUUUUCCUAUUUUUUGCCUGUUUUUCCCAUUUUUUUGCCAUUUUUCCCAUUUUUUGCCAUUUUUCCCAUUUUUUGCCAUUUCUCCCAUUUUUUGCCUGUUUUUCCCCAUUUUAUUGCCAUUUUUCCUAUUUUUUGGUUGUUUUUCCCAUUUUUUUCCCCUUUCCCCCCAUUUUUCUUAUAUUUAUUGCCGUUUUUUCGCCAUUUUUCCCAUUUUUUUUCCCAUUUUUUGCCAUUUUUUCCCCGUUUUUCCCAUUUUUUCCCCGUUUAUUCACAUUUUUUUGCCAUUUUUCCUAUUUUUUGGCUGUUUUUCCCAUUUUUUUCCCCUUUCCCCCCAUUUUUCUUAUUUUUAUUCCCGUUUUUUCGCCAUUUUUGCCAUUUUUUUGCCAUUUUUCUUAUUUUUUUGCCGUUUUUCUCAUUUUUUGCCUGUUUUUCCCCAUUUUAUUGCCAUUUUCCCCAUUUUUUUCCCAUUUGUCCCAUUUUUUUGCCCUUUUCCCCCAUUUUUCUAGUUUUUAUUCCCAUUUUCUUGCCUUUUUUCCUAUUUUUUCCUUGUUUUUUCUCCAUUUUUUUGCUGUUUAUUCCCAUUUUUGGGGUUUUUAUUCCCAUUUUUUCCCCGUUUUUCCCCAUUUUUUCCCCGUUUUUCCCAUUUUUCCCCCGUUUUUCCCAUUUUCCCCGGGUUUUUGCCCAGUUCUGGGUACCUGGUGUCCUGGUGCGUGCCCAGGCAGCGGCUGCAGCAGUACCUGGCCCCGCAGGUGACACAGGUGUGUCCCCAACCCCAGGUCACCCAUUCCCCCGCCCUUUAUUCACAUUUUUCCUGGUUUUAUUCCCAUUUUUUUCCCGUUUUUCCCAUUUUUUGCCUGUUUUCCCCAUUUUUUUGCCAUUUUUCCUAUUUUUUGGUUGUUUUUCCCAUUUUUUUCCCCUUUCCCCCCAUUUUUCUUAUUUUUAUUCCCGUUUUUUCGCCGUUUUUCCCAUUUUUUUGCUGUUUUUUUCCAUUUUUGCCUGUUUUUCCCCAUUUUAUUGCCACUUUCCCCAUUUUUUUCCCAUUUGUCCCAUUUUUUUCCCUUUCCCCCCAUUUUUCUUGUUUUUAUUCCCAUUUUUUUGCUGUUUAUUCCCAUUUUUGGGGUUUUUAUUCCCAUUUUUCCCCCGUUUUUUCCCGUUUUUCCCCCGUUUAUUCCCAUUUUUCCCCGUUUUUCCCAUUUUCCCCGGGUUUUUGCCCAGUUCUGGGUACCUGGUGUCCUGGUGCGUGCCCAGGCAGCGGCUGCAGCAGUACCUGGCCCCGCAGGUGACACAGGUGUGUCCCCAACCCCAGGUCACCCAUUCCCCUGCCCUUUAUUCACAUUUUUCCUGGUUUUAUUCCCAUUUUUUUUGCCAUUUUUCCCAUUUUUUGCCUGUUUUUCCCCAUUUCAUUGCCAUUUUUCCUAUUUUUUGGCUGUUUUUCCCAUUUUUUUCCCCUUUCCCCACAUUUUUCUUAUUUUUACUCCCAUUUUUUUUGCCAUUUUUCCCAUUUUUUUGCCGUUUUUCCCAUUUUUUGCCUGUUUUUCCCCAUUUUAUUGCCAUUUUCCCCAUUUUUUCCCAUCUGUCCCAUUUUUUUCCCUUUCCCCCCAUUUUUCUUGUUUUUCUUCCCGUUUUUUUGCCGUUUAUUCCCAUUUUUGGGGUUUUUAUUCCCAUUUUUUUGCCGUUUUUUCGCCAUUUUUUUGCCAUUUUUCCUAUUUCUUGGUUGUUUUUCCCAUUUUUUUUCCCUUUCCCCCCAUUUUUCUUAUUUUUAUUCCCAUUUUUUCACCAUUUUUGCCAUUUUUUUGCCGUUUAUUCCCAUUUUUUCCCCGUUUUUCCCCAUUUUUUCCCCGUUUAUUCCCAUUUUUGGGGUUUUUAUUCCCAUUUUCCCCCGUUUUUCCCAUUUUCCCCGGGUUUUUGCCCAGUUCUGGGUACCUGGUGUCCUGGUGCGUGCCCAGGCAGCGGCUGCAGCAGUACCUGGCCCCGCAGGUGA
ensembl:lncRNA